rnacentral:rRNA from 1 species
CAGUCGCCACGGUAAAACGAAGGGGGCUAGCGUUGCUCGGAAUUACUGGGCGUAAAGGGAGCGUAGGCGGAUCGUUAAGUUGGGGGUGAAAGCCCGGGGCUCAACCUCGGAAUUGCCUUCAAUACUGGCGAUCUUGAGUAUGGAAGAGGUAUGUGGAACUCCGAGUGUAGAGGUGAAAUUCGUAGAUAUUCGGAAGAACAUCAGUGGCGAAGGCGACAUACUGGUCCAUUACUGACGCUGAGGCUCGAAAGCGUGGGGAGCAAACAGGAUUAGAUACCCCCGUAGUCCCUGUCUCUUAUAC